AACGAACGCUGGCGGCAGGCCUAACACAUGCAAGUCGAACGCCGUAGCGAUACGGAGUGGCAGACGGGUGAGUAACGCGUGGGAACAUACCCCUCGGUUCGGAAUAACUCAGGGAAACUUGAGCUAAUACCGGAUAAGUCCGAGGUUUUAAUCGACCUUGGAGAAAGAUUUAUCGCCGGAGGAUUGGCCCGCGUCUGAUUAGCUUGUUGGUGAGGUAAUGGCUCACCAAGGCGACGANCAGUAGCUGGUCUGAGAGGACGAUCAGCCACACUGGGACUGAGACACGGCCCAGACUCCUACGGGAGGCAGCAGUGGGGAAUCUUGCGCAAUGGGCGAAAGCCUGACGCAGCGACGCCGCGUGGGGAAGAAGGCCUCGGUUGUAACGUAC
rnacentral:rRNA from 1 species